GUGAGGAAUAUUGGUCAAUGGACGAGAGUCUGAACCAGCCAAGUCGCGUGAAGGAAGACGGUUCUAUGAAUUGUAAACUUCUUUUGUGCAGGAAUAAAGUGGGUUACGUGUAACCUUUUGUAUGUACUGUACGAAUAAGGAUCGGCUAACUCCGUGCCAGCAGCCGCGGUAAUACGGAGGAUCCGAGCGUUAUCCGGAUUUAUUGGGUUUAAAGGGUGCGUAGGUGGAUUGAUAAGUCAGCGGUGAAAGUUUGCAGCUUAACUGUAAAAUUGCCGUUGAAACUGUCGGUCUUGAGUGCAAAUGAGGUAGGCGGAAUGUGUUGUGUAGCGGUGAAAUGCUUAGAUAUAACACAGAACUCCGAUUGCGAAGGCAGCUUACUGGGAUGCAACUGACACUGAUGCACGAAAGCGUGGGUAUCAAACAGGAUUAGAUACCCGGGUAGUCC
rnacentral:rRNA from 1 species